GGUGCCUGUAAAGGAAACCAGGAAAAGGCCUCUGACACCAGGAGAGGAACCUGAAGGGAGCAAGAGAGCUGCCUGCGAGUAGCAAACAAGAAGGAGCAGCGAUGGGCAGCAGAAACGAAGCAGCAGAAGACGAUCAGCAGCGUCCAGCAAAGAAGAGGAAAGAUAAUGAGAAUUAGCAUCAGACGUAGCAGCAGCAGAGAGCAAGCGCUGGCCGGUGUCUCAGCCUGCAGCAGCUGCGGAGAGGAGGGGCUGGAAUACACGGAACUCACCCGUCCUCUCUGCAGCCGAGGGGUGCGAGUGUCUGAACUUGAAUUUGUCUCCCGCUCAUGUCAGCCCUCUGCUGUGUCAGCGUAACAACAACACCUGCAUGCCUGGUAUAGAGCCAUGCUCAUUGUACCUACGUUGGUGCAGUAUUACUGUAGACACUGUGUUACUUGUAUAGAUCCUAACAGUCCUCUGGCAGCUGCCCCCCAUGGCCUGACACUGACUGUGGCAUCAGGGGUAACUGCAGGACCCGACCACGUCACCACAGGCAACAGUCAAACUUUCACAAUGUCGCAUACACAAUGUCGCAUACACAAUGUCACACAUACACAAUGUUGCAUACACAAUGUCACACAUACACAAUGCCAUAGUUGGUCUGAAUUUAGCUUAAAUGUUUUUUACUCUUUAUAAGUUCUGCUCUUUUGAUGAACGGUUCGGGGGGUGUUUGGUUUUUUUUCCCCAAAAAUAUUUGUUUAUAAGUGGACUGUGUGUUUUUGUACCAAUAUAAAACUUCGCUAU